GGGGGCAUAGCUCAGUGGUAGAGCGCAUGCUUGGUGUGCACAAUGUUCCCGGUUCAAUUCCUGGUGCCCCCU